GCCUUCUGCAUCUACAGAAGUCUGCUGUAAUUGUGUGACCCAGUCGAUCUGUUUCACGCAAUAAUGCCAGCAGAGUCUCACGCAGAAGGAGAUCAUCGUGCACCGAACCGCCAACGAGACGCAGCCGAACCUCUUUCUUAAUGUUCAUUGGCUGCGGCCUCGAGGUGAAGUGCUACAGCC
ensembl:snoRNA